GUCACGUGCGCCCGAGGGGGCGGGGCCCCAAGCCGGCCCGGGAGCGGAACCGAGUUCCACCUAGAGGCUCCGUGCAAGGCGCGAACUUUUCCCCCGAGAUUUGAGGGGCUAACCUUGGCCUGAACCCCUCGGGAGGACUCCAGGCACCCGUAGCCAGGACCGGACUGAGGUGUCCGCGGCCAGCCUGGGACAGCGGUCGGGGCUGAAGACACCCAGGAAAAGUGGGAGCAGAAGCCUGGGGGUGAGUGCAGGGAGAGCUCUGCUGGCAGCUUGUAGGAAGGCUCUGGUCUCCGUUUAUUCCGGGGUGGGCCAGGGCAAGUGCCCCGACAGCUCGAAGGCGGCAGCCGAGGCCACUGUCCCUUAAGAGUGCUGGAGUCCUCAGCACCUGUCUAGGGCUUCAGCAGGGGCUGUGGUCAUGGUGAAUGAAGAUCCCAACCAACAGGAGCAAAAUGGCACGCCCGCGCAGGACCCCGCACUCCGGGUGGACCACAGCGCCUCGGGGCACCAGAGCGUGUCCACGCACCCGAGCGUGUCGAUGCACCCGAGCGUGUCGGCCCACCCCAGUGUCUCCAUCCACCCCGCCGUGUCGGCCCGCCCGAGCAGUUCGGCCCACCCCAGUAUGCUGGCCCAGUCCGGUGGCUUGGCCCGCCCCAGUAGCUCGUGCCCCGAGGACCUUAGUGUGAUCAAGGUGAGCAAGCGCCGUUGGGUGGUGGUCCUGCUGUUUAGCUGCUACUCCAUGUGCAACGCCUUCCAGUGGAUCCAGUACGGCUCCAUCAAUAACAUCUUCAUGCACUUCUACGGGGUCAGCGCCUUUGCCAUCGACUGGCUGUCCAUGUGCUACAUGCUGACCUACAUCCCUCUGCUGCUGCCCGUGGCCUGGCUGCUGGAGAAAUUCGGCCUGCGCACCAUCGCCCUCACCGGGUCCGCUCUCAACUGCCUGGGGGCCUGGGUGAAGUUGGGUAGCCUGAAGCCGCAUCUCUUCCCGGUCACCGUGCUGGGCCAGAUCAUCUGCUCUGUGGCCCAGGUCUUCAUCCUGGGCAUGCCCUCCCGCAUCGCUUCAGUCUGGUUCGGGGCCAAUGAGGUGUCAACGGCCUGUUCCAUAGCUGUCUUCGGCAAUCAGCUUGGAAUUGCAAUUGGGUUCUUGGUCCCUCCUGUUUUGGUACCCAACAUCGAAGACCAGGACAAGCUUGCCUACCACAUCAGCAUCAUGUUUUACAUAAUAGGAGGCGUGGCCACUCUGCUUUUCAUCCUUGUCAUCAUCGUAUUCAAGGAGAAGCCUAAACAUCCCCCCAGCAGGGCCCAAUCCCUGAGCUAUGCCUUGGCGUCCCCUGAUGCUUCGUACUUAAGUUCCAUUGUCCGGCUCUUCAGAAACCUCAACUUUGUGCUGCUUGUCAUUACCUACGGUCUGAAUGCUGGUGCUUUUUAUGCCUUGUCAACUCUGCUGAAUCGCAUGGUGAUCUUGCACUACCCGGGGGAAGAAGUGAAUGCUGGAAGAAUCGGCCUGACCAUCGUCAUUGCAGGAAUGCUUGGGGCUGUGAUCUCAGGCAUCUGGCUGGAUAGGUCCAAAACCUACAAGGAGACAACCCUGGUGGUCUACAUCAUGACUGUGGUUGGCAUGGUGGUGUACACAUUGACCUUGAACCUGGGACACCUGUGGGUCGUGUUCAUCACUGCUGGCACAAUGGGCUUCUUCAUGACCGGCUACCUCCCCCUGGGAUUUGAGUUUGCUGUGGAACUGACAUACCCAGAAUCAGAAGGCAUGUCGUCUGGGCUCCUUAACGUGUCUGCCCAGGUAUUCGGGAUCAUCUUCACCAUCUCCCAGGGUCAAAUUAUUGACAACUAUGGAACCAUGCCCGGGAACAUCUUUCUGUGUGUGUUCCUCACCCUUGGAGCAGUCCUCACUGCAUUCAUUAGGGCAGAUCUCCGGAGGCAGAAAGCAAACAAAGAAACUCCUGAGAAUAGCACGUCACUGUUGUCACAGUCUGCUGAGCAGCGCCCACUCCUUGGAUCCUGAGACAAGUCCUGAGACCCUGGCUCCACUGCUUUCAGCCUUGGGGUCAGUGGCUGGAGAGGAAAGAAACUCCAGGAGGAGGGGGAGGAGGAGGAGGAGAGCAAUGCCAACAAAGUACCCACCAUUGUGUCUGAGGAG